AUCUACAGCCGUACCACCCUGAACAUGCCUGAUCUCAUCUGAGCUCAGAAGUUAAGUAGGGUCGGGCCUGGUUAGUACUUAGAUGGGAGAAAAAGUAAUUCCUCUUUGGAAGAUA
ensembl:rRNA 5S_rRNA 5S ribosomal RNA